AAUAGGAGGUUGUCUCAGAGGAAGCGCUAAAUGUCACGAACAGUUGACGGAUAGAAGAAAAUAUCUUUUGCCAUUUUCUGUCAUCAACGUCUUCACCCAACUAUUAUUGCGGUCGUCUAAGACAACUUGCCUUUUUAGAACUGGAAGUUUUUCAUCGCUCGUAAAUAUUCUUGGAAAUCAUGUGACUUGAUCGGGCAGAUCGGCAGAUGUACAAUGACUGCGAUUUCUUUUUUUCGAGUUCAUUGGUAUCGCAAGAAAACUAGGUGUAUUUGGUUUCAUGUACGGUGAGAACCACCAGCUUGAAAAUUGAGUUUACCAUCACAUCGUGGACUCGGUGAUAAAUCGCUCGUAUGGCUUGCCUCGCAAUAACUAACAGAGUGGCGUACUUGGUACCGAUUUUAAACAUAUUGUUAGAACUAGGUGUUGCUGGUGCGUCUCAUGCCAUGGGGCAAAAGUCAGAAAUUGUAAUUCUUAGAGCAAAUGAACGUAGCCUUUUUAAACUUUAUUAA